rnacentral:rRNA from 1 species
UGGGGAAUUUUGGACAAUGGGCGCGAGCCUGAUCCAGCCAUGCCGCGUGCGGGAAGAAGGCCUUCGGGUUGUAAACCGCUUUUGUCAGGGAAGAAAUCUUCUGAGUUAAUACCUCGGGAGGAUGACGGUACCUGAAGAAUAAGCACCGGCUAACUACGUGCCAGCAGCCGCGGUAAUACGUAGGGUGCAAGCGUUAAUCGGAAUUACUGGGCGUAAAGCGUGCGCAGGCGGUUUUGUAAGACAGAGGUGAAAUCCCCGGGCUCAACCUGGGAACUGCCUUUGUGACUGCAAGGCUUGAGUGCGGCAGAGGGGGAUGGAAUUCCGCGUGUAGCAGUGAAAUGCGUAGAUAUGCGGAGGAACACCGAUGGCGAAGGCAAUCCCCUGGGCCUGCACUGACGCUCAUGCACGAAAGCGUGGGGAGCAAACAGGAUUAGAUACCCUGGUAGUCCACGCCCUAAAACGAUGUCAACUGGUUGUUGGGAAGGUUCCUUCUCAGUAACGUAGCUAACGCGUGAAGUUGACCGCCUGGGGAGUACGGCCGCAAGGUUGAAAACUCAAAGGAAUUGACGGGGUCAUAGCUGUUUCC